CUGCAAACAGCAAGUCUACUCACUUUGACUGAUGCAGAAGUUAUUGUUGGAUUUCUACUGUGAUCGAUUGAAAGAUCGGCAUGUUGUCAUUCCACAUGUUCUUGCUGGUCUUUGUUCAUUGGUACUGCAUCAUUCACUACCAGAUGGAGCUGUGAGGAAGAUUUGCUCUGCAAUUUAUAAGGAAGUUCACACACAAGGCUUGUCUCAAGGAGACAGACGGCACUUCUACAACAUAGCUGCUACUCUCUUAGAGAAUCCUGUUUACCAAGAAGAGCUGAAAACAUUUUCUCAAGACUUUGUAUUUGGGUUUAUCCAAGCCAUGGAUGGAGAACGGGAUCCGAGAAACUUGGUUUUAGCAUUUCAAUGUGUCAGAGCAAUUGCACAGAAGCUACCAUUUGAAAUGUUUGCUGAAGAUCUCUUUGAAGUGGUUGCUUGUUAUUUUCCAGUGGAAUUUACUCCUCCACCAGAUGAUCCCCAUGGCAUCACUAGAGAUGAUCUUGUUUCCAGUCUUAGACAGUGUUUGUCUGCUUCUAACAAGCUAAGCAAGUUUUGUCUUCCUUUGCUUCUUGAGAAAAUGGCAUCAAAUGUUAGAACAGCAAAACUGGAUUCACUGGAGACUUUGGUGGCAUGUGCUCAAACGUAUAAUGCUGAGGACUUUAGCUUGUUUUCUGAAGAAUUAUGGAGAGCAAUUAGGCAAGAGGUUUUUCAACCAGGGUUUGCAGAUGUUGAGGAAUCGGCAAUCAGUGCUUUACAAAUUAUAACAAGAAACAUGGCAUCUGGGCUUGUCACUCAUUCUGGCUCUUCAAAUGCAUUGGAUAAAUUUCUUCAGAUAAUUCUUAAAGAGUGCAUCGAGCAUCUGAAAGAGCCUUCACUUCGACUUAUCAAACCAAGUGGACGUGUACUGCAGGCUAUAGCAGCAGCUGCGGAUCCAACGUGUGUUGCUGUAUUGAGUGCUGCAAUGCCAGUGCUGUUAAGCAAAUACACUGAAACUAUGCAGGCUGUUCAUCAACGAAACCUUCUCGAAAUUGUUCUUUCUCUUUUGAAGGCAACUAUGAAGUUUUCUGAUUCUCUUGAUGUUACCAGUCCUCUGAUGCCAUUCAAGGAAUCUUUGAUGACUUUGUUUUACACAACUCUCAAUCACACGGAUGGUUCUGUGUGUUGUGUUGGAUUGUCUGGUCUUGCUGCAUUGUUGUCUCAGCCACAACUGUUGAUGCAAGAAGAAGAGUUGGCUAUUACACAUCACAUUACUCAGUUGCUGCUAGAAGAUGUUCAAGACAUUGUAAAGUCUGAGGCUCUCAAUGCUCUGUCUGUUGUUGGUCGCAAGUCACCAUUAGUUGUACAAAAGGAGACAUUGCCUAUUCUGUUAAAUCAUGAUUCUAAUUCAGCUGGUAAUACUGUCAAUACGCUGACUUGUCUGUCUGCUGUAUCUGUUCAUGUGGACAUUGUCCAAGUUACUGUUCCUGAAAUCUUGGCUCGAGUAGAUCUCUGUAGUCAAAGCGAUGAAAACCAGCAGCAGUUGACAUCGAUAGCAGUGUGUGCCUUUACAUCAUUAGCAUCUAUAGUGCAAGCUCACAUUCAUGAUGUUGAGAUAAUUGGAUAUAUAGAGCAGCAUUUAUUGCCACAUCUAAUAGCAAAGCCAGUCUAUGAAGCAACUCAAGAAUGUCCUGCUAAGUGGAAUAUCUAUGAUAAACUUGAAACACUUGCUGCUGUUUGUUCCUGUAUUAGAAAUGUGAUGUUAGCAUUAGAUGCAAGCUCUCAAGACAGAGUGGUUCAGUGUGUGUCAGACUUGUUUGUAAAUGGUAAAAGCACAAGGGCGAAUGUUUGGUUUAACUAUAAUCCAGUGCAAAGGUUUGAGCCCUUGAAGGCCAAUUCCACUUUUCAUCAAACUCAGUUGGUAUCCCUGCUAAUGGCAGUUGUGUGUCAUUGCAGUAAAGAUAUCCAUUUCGAGGAUGAACCAACACUUCUCAGACAACUGGUGUCAUUGGCUUGCACAUCUACACAUCAACCAACAUGCACUGCUGCGGCCAAAUGCUUAGCAGGACUAAUAAACAAGAUGGAGGAUGAAGAAGAGUUGCGUGUGUAUGUUGACCUUGUGUCAGAGAAUUUGUUUUCGUGGUCGAGUAGUGAUGAAAAUUGCUUUACUGCAAUUCAGCUAAAAGAACUUACUGUACUGUUGUGGUUGUGUAAAGCAUUAGUGAUGAGGUCACAUGAUUUAGCAAAACCAAUGGUUGAUAAGCUCAUUAGCUUGUUUUCAUCUCAACUUGGUGAAGCUGCAGCUGAUGGUUUCUGUAUUAUUUUGUCUGAUUGUCCAGACGUAAUGUCUAAUACAACAGUGUGUAAUAGUCGAUUGAUGUUUCGUCAGAAGUUUUUCAUUGAAACUGUGCCAAUACUAGUGGAUGGUUUUAAUAGAGCUCAAGGGAGCAAGAGUCCAUUUGUGAAGGCACUAUCGUAUGUUUUACAGUCUGUUCCCAAGCAAGUUCUUUUGGCAGAGUUACAACUGGUAAUGCCUCUUCUUAUCCAGUCCCUGUCUUUGCCUGAGUUAAGCUUGAAGACCUCAACACUUUCUACUCUUUGUUCACUUGUUCGUGAUGCUCCACUCAUUAUCAGUCAGCACUUGACUUCACUCAUGCCUUCUUUACUUUCAUUAGCACAACAACCUCAACAAAUGAAAGUGAGGAUAUCAGCUUUGCAGUGCCUAGGUUUAAUGACAGUUCUUCCACAUCACCUGGUUUUCCCAUUUCGAUUGAAAGUUAUCAGAGCAUUAGCUGCAACUCUUGAUGAUAAGAAACGACUGGUGAGGAAAGAAGCAGUCAAAUGUCGAGGAGAAUGGUUUCUGUUGGGUUCUGCUAAGCAAUAGGAAAGUCACCUAUUCACAUCUUGGAAGAGGACCAAUUUGAUGUCACGAAGAUUGAUAAACUUAAUUUAACAGUGAAUAUGACAUGUGAGUACAAUGUAGAGAUUCUUUCAUAAGGGAAAUGUGAUGGGAUCGGGAUCUCCUGCGCUGGUUAAUGUGACUUCAACCAUUACAUUUGGUUGACUGUAAUUAACGAUCUGUUUUACUUGAAGUACAGCAGGUUAUCAUACUGUCCAUCAUAUGACCUGCAAAACAAAGUAUGUGGUUCGUGAAGUUGCUUGAAGAAAUAGUAGAUGGCCUCUAUUGUUGCAAGGUAGUGACUUGGCUUACUCUGUUUUCUGAAGAGAAAGUGAAAUGAUCAUUUUGUUCACACAUCAGUUGCUAUGCUGGUUUGUUUGUCAGAGCAGUCGUGCAUUUUAGACAAUUUACAUUCCUCAAAAGACUGAACUGAAUCUUAAAAACUGAGUGUAGCUAUAAAUAUGAUACGCUGCCGUUCAGUAGGGAUCACAUGAUGUCACUAUUGAGUACAGUUGCCAGGGAGGGAACCCUUGCAUCCUUUGGACGGAUUGGGUCAACAGGCUUGGUGUAUACUAUCAGGGUGGGAAAGGAAAGUUGGUACACUUUAUUUCAUAUCUCAGAAUAUGAUCUGACAUGUUUUGAA